GACGGUACCUGAAGAAAAAGCAUCGGCUAACUCCGUGCCAGCAGCCGCGGUAAUACGGAGGAUGCAAGCGUUAUCCGGAAUCAUUGGGCGUAAAGGGUCCGCAGGUGGCGAAUAAAGUCUGCUGUUAAAGACCGGGGCUAAACUCCGGAAAGGCAGUGGAAACUGAUUAGCUAGAGUACGGUAGGGGUAGAGGGAAUUCCCAGUGUAGCGGUGAAAUGCGUAGAUAUUGGGAAGAACACCGGUGGCGAAAGCGCUCUACUAGGCCGAAACUGACACUGAGGGACGAAAGCUAGGGUAGCGAAAGGGAUUAGAUACCCCUGUAGUCUUAGCUGUAAACGAUGGAUACUAGGCGUAGCUUGUAUCGACCCGAGCUGUGCCGAAGCUAACGCGAUAAGUAUCCCGCCUGGGGAGUACGCACGCAAGUGUGAAACUCAAAGGAAUUGACGGGGGCCCGCACAAGCGGUGGAGUAUGUGGUUUAAUUCGAUGCAACGCGAAGAACCUUACCAGGGCUUGACAUGUCGCGAAUCUGGCGGAAACGUUAGAGUGCCUUAGGGAACGCGAACACAGGUGGUGCAUGGCUGUCGUCAGCUCGUGUCGUGAGAUGUUGGGUUAAGUCCCGCAACGAGCGCAACCCUCGUCCUUAGUUGCCAAUAUUAAGUUAGGCACUCUAGGGAGACUGCCGGGGACAACUCGGAGGAAGGUGGGGAUGACGUCAAGUCAGCAUGCCCCUUACGUCCUGGGCGACACACGUACUACAAUGGUUGGGACAAAGGGCAGCAAGCUCGCGAGAGUAAGCGAAUCUCAUCAAACCCAGCCACAGUUCAGAUUGCAGGCUGCAACUCGCCUGCAUGGAGUAGGAAUCGCUAGUAAUCGCAGGUCAGCAUACUGCGGUGAAUUCGUUCCCGGGCCUUGUACACACCGCCCGUCACACCAUGGAAGCUGGCUACGCCCGAAGUCGUUACCCUGACCCGGUUUUGGGAGGGGGAUGCCGAAGGUAGAGCUAGUGACUGGGGUGAAGUCGUAACAAGGUAGCCGUACCGGAAGGUGUGGCUGGAUCACCUCCUUU
rnacentral:rRNA from 1 species